rnacentral:rRNA from 1 species
GAUCAUGGCUCAGACGAACGCUGGCGGCAGGCUUAACACAUGCAAGUCGAACGCUCGUAGCAAUACGGGAGUGGCGGACGGGUGAGUAACGCGUGGGAACGUGCCCUGAGGUACGGAAUAACUGAGGGAAACUUCAGCUAAUACCGUAUGAGCCCGAGAGGGGGAAAGAUUUAUCGCCUUGGGAGCGGCCCGCGUCGGAUUAGCUAGUUGUGGGGUAACGGGCCUACCAAGGCUUCGAUCCGUAGCUGGUCUGAGAGGACGAUCAGCCACACUGGGACUGAGACACGGCCCAGACUCCUACGGGAGGCAGCAGUGGGGAAUCUUGCGCAAUGGGGGCAACCCUGACGCAGCCAUGCCGCGUGAACGAUGAAGGCCUUAGGGUUGUAAAGUUCUUUUACCCGUGACGAUGAUGACGGUAACGGGGGAAUAAGCUCCGGCUAACUUCGUG